rnacentral:tRNA from 3 species
GCGGGCGUAGUUCAGGGGUAGAACGUCAGCUUCCCAAGCUGAAUGUCGUGGGUUCGAUUCCCAUCGCCCGCUCCA